rnacentral:tRNA from 1 species
AGGGGGUUAGUUUAAGUUAAGAUUUAGGGUUGUCAGCCCUAGGAUGCCAUGGGAUGUGGUGCCCUUUA